UUAUAUACGUGUAAUAGUUAUACAUGUACACGUAAAUGUGUGCAGUGUCACUGAGUGUGUAUACGUGUUUAUUCAAGUUGGUGUUGUAGUAGAGGGUCUGGUAAGUUCAUUUUGCCUCUGGUUGAACAUUUCAUAACAGAAUUGCCCAACAGUUGGAGUUACUUGUUCUGGGCUGUCAAGAAGGAAAACACAUGUUUCCAGUUCAGACAGAAAUGUGAACUCAGAACAUAUUUGACCGACUUUAUAGUAUAGUAUUUUUCUUAAAUGCAUAUUUAUUGGACACCGAGUCAAAAAAUUAAUCUCAUCUUCUGGUUCUUUUUGGCACAGUCGGCAUAUACGGUCAUUUCACAAGAGUGUGGUAGCGAUCGGUAAAUAACUUGACCGUUGUGAGGCACGUUUGUUUCAUCUUCACUGGUUAUCGGCGUCUUUUAGACGGAACAGAAACACGGCAAAAUCCGCGAAACUAAGUAGAGAAUCAGUCAAUUAUUGCAGCUUGGGAAGCCGGACGUGUUUGAUAAGAUCUAAACAAAAUUCAGUCAUGUCGGGUGUUUUAAGAAGACUUUCAAGCAGUGUUUUCACUGCAGCUAAAACAACAACGAUCCAGAGAGCGAAUAUUAUAUCUGGUCCUCCCAGAUUCAGGGUUCCCCUAAAGGAGAAGGUUGCUAUUGGACUUGUGAUGAUUGCAGUGACGAUUGCGCCUGCCGCUUGGGUUAUGAUGAACAUCAAUAACUACAGAAACCGAGAUGCAGAAUAGAUCAUAGUACAGUGAUGAUCAUUUUGUGUGGAAAUCAUGAACACUGAAAUAUCCAGUUUUUUAUGGAACUGUACUUCCUAUUGGAAUUGAGCUAGGUCUUAAACUACAUGCUGUUGACUGGUUAUUUAUGUGUAUGUACAAAUGUUUUGGAACAAUGAGAAGUAGAUUUCUUUUUUGUAAGAAAUUAAAUUAUGUAGAACCUUG